CCUACGGGCGACUGCAGUGAGGAAUAUUGGUCAAUGGGCGGGAGCCUGACCCAGCCAAGUCGCGUGAGGGAAGACGGUCCUACGGAUUGUAAACCUCUUUUGUCAGGGAACAAAGACUGGGACGCGUCCCCGGAUGAGUGUACCUGACGAAAAAGCAUCGGCUAACUCCGUGCCAGCAGCCGCGGUCAUACGGAGGAUGCGAGCGUUAUCCGGAUUUAUUGGGUUUAAGGGGUGCGCAGGCGGUCUGUUAAGUCAGCGGUCAAAGCCCGGGGCUCAACCCCGACCCGCCGUUGAAACUGGCAGUCUCGAGUUGGAGAGAAGUAUGCGGAAGGCGCGGUGUAGCGGUGAAAUGCAUAGAUAUCGCGCAGAACUCCGAUUGCGAAGGCAGCAUGCCGGCUCCACACUGACGCUGAGGCACGAAAGCGUGGGUAUCGAACAGGAUUAGAUACCCCAGUAGUC
rnacentral:rRNA from 1 species